AGUUGGUGGGGUGACUUGUCUGGUUAAUUUCGAUAACGAACGAGAUCCGAGCUGUUUAGUUGCGAAUGCCUGGUCUAUUUCAGGUAUUCGUUUUUAAAUGGACCAUCUGCUCAAGCAGAAGGAAGUGACGGGCUAAAUCAGGU
rnacentral:rRNA from 1 species